rnacentral:rRNA from 2 species
AGACCCGAAACCCGGUGAUCUAGCCAUGGGCAGGUUGAAGGUUGGGUAACACUAACUGGAGGACCGAACCGACUAAUGUUGAAAAAUUAGCGGAUGACUUGUGGCUGGGGGUGAAAGGCCAAUCAAACCGGGAGAUAGCUGGUUCUCCCCGAAAGCUAUUUAGGUAGCGCCUCGUGAAUUCAUCUCCGGGGGUAGAGCACUGUUUCGGCAAGGGGGUCAUCCCGACUUACCAACCCGAUGCAAACUGCGAAUACCGGAGAAUGUUAUCACGGGAGACACACGGCGGGUGCUAACGUCCGUCGUGAAGAGGGAAACAACCCAGACCGCCAGCUAAGGUCCCAAAGUCAUGGUUAAGUGGGAAACGAUGUGGGAAGGCCCAGACAGCCAGGAUGUUGGCUUAGAAGCAGCCAUCAUUUAAAGAAAGCGUAAUAGCUCACUGGUCGAGUCGGCCUGCGCGGAAGAUGUAACGGGGCUAAACCAUGCACCGAAGCUGCGGCAGCGACACUGUGUGUUG